UACGUAGGGAGCAAGCGUUGUCCGGAAUCAUUGGGCGUAAAGCGCGCGUAGGUGGCCCUGUAAGUCCGUUGUGAAAGUCAAAGGCUCAACCUUUGAAAGCCGAUGGAUACUGCAGGGCUAGAGUACGGAAGAGGCGAGUGGAAUUCCUGGUGUAGCGGUGGAAUGCGCAGAUAUCAGGAGGAACACCGGUGGCGAAGGCGGGUCUCUGGGCAGUAACUGACGCUGAGGAGCGAAAGCGUGGGGAGCGAACAGG
rnacentral:rRNA from 1 species